rnacentral:rRNA from 1 species
GGGGCAAACAAUCCAAAAGAACGUAGACUAUACGGAUCCGUGCUCACGCAUAUUGACUACGGGUUUUACGGCCGCGGUGUUUUGACCGUGCAAAGGUAGCGCAAUCACUUGUCUUUUAAAUAGAGACCUGUAUGAAUGGCUAAACGAGGGCUUAACUGUCUCCCCUUUCCAGUCAGUGAAAUUGAUCUGCCCGUGCAGAAGCGGACAUAAAAAUACAAGACGAGAAGACCCUUUGGAGCUUAAGGUACAAAACUCAACCACGUCAAGCAACUCAAUAAAAAGCAAAAACUUUGUGGAAUAUGAGAUUUUACCUUCGGUUGGGGCGACCACGGAGGAAAACAAAGCCUCCAAGUGGAUUGGGAAAACCUCCUAAAACCAAGAGAGACAUCUCUAAGCCACAGAACAUCUGACCAAACAUGAUCCGGCUACCCGAAGCCGAUCAACGAACCAAGUUACCCUAGGGAUAACAGCGCAAUCCUCUCCCAGAGUCCAUAUCGACGAGAGGGUUUACGACCUCGAUGUUGGAUCAGGACAUCCUAAUGGUGCAGCCGCUAUUAAGGGUUCGUUUGUUCAACGAUUAAAGUCCUACGUGAUCUGAUUCAGACCGGACGGUCGCCUGUUUAUCAAAAACAUAUACGUGAUCUGAGUUCAGAACAGGAGGG